UACGUAGGUGGCAAGCGUUGUCCGGAAUUAUUGGGCGUAAAGCGCGCGCAGGCGGUCCUUUAAGUCUGAUGGGAAAGCCCACGGCUCAACCGUGGAGGGUCAUUGGAAACUGGGGGACUUGAGUGCAGAAGAGGAAAGCGGAAUUCCACGUGUAGCGGUGAAAUGCGUAGAGAUGUGGAGGAACACCAGUGGCGAAGGCGGCUUUCUGGUCUGUAACUGACGCUGAGGCGCGAAAGCGUGGGGAGCAAACAGG
rnacentral:rRNA from 1 species